UAGGGAAUCUUCCGCAAUGGGCGAAAGCCUGACGGAGCAACGCCGCGUGAGUGAUGAAGGUCUUCGGAUCGUAAAACUCUGUUAUUAGGGAAGAACGUAUGUGUAAGUAACUGUGCACAUCUUGACGGUACCUAAUCAGAAAGCCACGGCUAACUACGUGCCAGCAGCCGCGGUAAUACGUAGGUGGCAAGCGUUAUCCGGAAUUAUUGGGCGUAAAGCGCGCGUAGGCGGUUUUUUAAGUCUGAUGUGAAAGCCCACGGCUCAACCGUGGAGGGUCAUUGGAAACUGGAAAACUUGAGUGCAGAAGAGGAAAGUGGAAUUCCAUGUGUAGCGGUGAAAUGCGCAGAGAUAUGGAGGAACACCAGUGGCGAAGGCGACUUUCUGGUCUGUAACUGACGCUGAUGUGCGAAAGCGUGGGGAUCAAACAGGAUUAGAUACCCUGGUAGUCCACGCCGUAAACGAUGAGUGCUAAGUGUUAGGGGGUUUCCGCCCCUUAGUGCUGCAGCUAACGCAUUAAGCACUCCGCCUGGGGAGUACGACCGCAAGGUUG
rnacentral:rRNA from 1 species